AUUGAACGCUGGCGGCAGGCCUAACACAUGCAAGUCGAGCAGAUGACGGGAGCUUGCUCCUGGAUUCAGCGGCGGACGGGUGAGUAAUGCCUAGGAAUCUGCCUGGUAGUGGGGGACAACGUUUCGAAAGGAACGCUAAUACCGCAUACGUCCUACGGGAGAAAGCAGGGGACCUUCGGGCCUUGCGCUAUCAGAUGAGCCUAGGUCGGAUUAGCUAGUUGGUAAGGUAAUGGCUAACCAAGGCGACGAUCCGUAACUGGUCUGAGAGGAUGAUCAGUCACACUGGAACUGAGACACGGUCCAGACUCCUACGGGAGGCAGCAGUGGGGAAUAUUGGACAAUGGGCGAAAGCCUGAUCCAGCCAUGCCGCGUGUGUGAAGAAGGUCUUCGGAUUGUAAAGCACUUUAAGUUGGGAGGAAGGGUUGUAGAUUAAUACUCUGCAAUUUUGACGUUACCGACAGAAUAAGCACCGGCUAACUCUGUGCCAGCAGCCGCAGUAAAAC
rnacentral:rRNA from 1 species